rfam:Raoultella ornithinolytica strain S12, complete genome.
GUCGGCGCAAUCCGGAACCUCCAUCAACUUGUUGCGCAAUACUGAGGGGAGCCGAUGUCGGGGGAAACCCUCCUGUGAACCAGCGGGAUAGAGCGAAAGACAAAGACCGGAAAACAACUAAAGCGCCCUGUUGUGGCGCUUUAGUUUU